rnacentral:lncRNA from 1 species
CGCGGGAGGGGCCGUACCUCAGGCCGCUGGGCUGUGCUCAGGCGCUUCCCGCCCUGCCUGCGGCCGGCGGCUAGUCUCCUGGCGUGGGGGCGUUUCUAUUGGUUUCUGUAAAUUUUUGGGUUGUUUUACAAGCAUGGAUUUUGUGUUGGCUAUCUUUAGGUUUCAGUUGCGGGGCUGUGCCGCUCUCCGAGCGGUGUGAGGCGCGGCGGUCGCUCGCGGCUGAGGAGGGGCGAGGCGGUGGUGUCCUAUCCCGCCGCCGGGACAGCAGCCGCCUGCACGGACGCUCCCCACGCUUCGCAGUGCCUCUCUGCCUGUGUUAGCCUCUAAAUGGCUGUUCUUCCUUGGCCUUCACCAGGCUAAAAAUGGUAACGGAGGUGUUACCUAAGUGUCAGCAGCCUCAUGCAGAAUACGUGUAUGUAUUCCUAUGUAGCGGUUGGUGGAAAGGGGAAGUAAUGUAUUGCCUUCCCCCCCCAAGUGAAAGUUUUCCAAACCGAUUUCUAUUUUCAGUUCAGAAGCUGUUGCUGCUAACAUGGAUGGCAUGGCUGAAGUACUGUACAGAUGAGUGUAGACCACACCAUCCAGCAUCCUCCAGUGAAGGUGUGUGCUGGGAGGCAGGGCUGUUCGACACAGCAGCUCCUGGCUCAGGCUGAAUUACAGACUCAGCAGGACUGAGGAACCACUUCUGUGGGACAAGGUACGUGCUCCUGAAGAAGUAACUUCUCCUGCAGUAACUCCCUGUUCCUGGCUGUGCGUGGAGCAGUUUUCGGUGACAGCAGAAGCUAGGCACCAGGACCAGCUGGCUCGCGGGCUGCGUGUGGCUGAGCAGCCAGCAGGAGAAAUUGUGUGUUUAUCCCUCACUUCCCACUGAAUGUCUUGCUAGCGCACCUCUAAUGCAGGAAAGAAAAAUAUAAUGCACUUCUUAAAAGGAUGCUCCCCUCUGCAUUGUGUCAUUCUAAUUUCAGAGAGUGGGGACACUUAGGAUUACAUCCUGUGUUUUAUGGGGCUGUGACUCUUGACCAGACAAGGCACUGAGCAACCUGAGUAACUUUGAAGCUGGUCCUGCUUUACGCACAAGGAGAACAAGACGGCCCUCAGCAUGCUUUUCCAACCUAAACUAUGUUGUGUGAUUUGGUAUACUACUUACACCUUGCUUAGCAUAAGUAGCAAAAUUUGCAGAAGCCUGAGGCCACAAGCUGUGAACUUUCACCUAGAUAUGUUGAACUUUUGCCUAGUUAAGUAAAAGAAGGACCCAGAGCAGGUUCAAGCUGACGGUAAGGAAGUUACCAUCUCAGCAGAAGCUGCAGCCUCAGAGAUAAGAAAAGAAACGGCCCAUCUAGAGACAAUGAAGGGACUCAAUGAAGAAUGGGAAGACCCCAGACCUUAAUAUUACUAUUGGUCCAAGCUGUCGCAUGAGGGGUAGGGAACUUAGAUGUGAGUGUAUAAUUGCUCAGGGAUUUCUUUCUUUGGGAUCUCUCUUUGGAGGCACCCAGCUCAAGCUAUAGUUGCUGUUAAUAAAAAGGACUUAUAUAAAAGAAUCUCUUCUUGGCUUACCGAUUCAGUGGAAACCUAGAGUUGAACCCUGUUAUGGUGGCUGGCAUGCGCAAUUUCCAUAACAACUAUUCUGUGACUCUUAAGUAUAAUUUAUUUUAAUUAAAGCUUUUUGUGGCUAAAGUGAAAC